rnacentral:rRNA from 1 species
UACGGAGGGUCCAAGCGUUAUCCGGAAUCAUUGGGCUUAAAGGGUCCGUAGGCGGUUUUGUAAGUCUGUGGUGAAAGCCCAUCGCUCAACGGUGGAACGGCCAUUGAUACUGCAAGACUUGAAUUAUUAGGAAGUAACUAGAAUAUGUAGUGUAGCGGUGAAAUGCUUAGAGAUUACAUGGAAUACCAAUUGCGAAGGCAGGUUACUACUAAUGGAUUGACGCUGAUGGACGAAAGCGUGGGUAGCGAACAGG